rnacentral:lncRNA from 1 species
UGUUUUGGUGCUGGUGGAGCGAACUCACGCCCCUGGCCAGCCUUUUCAGCGACUGGUGCCAAGAGUCCUCGUUCACCAGCGCCGCCCCUUUAAGAGAUUUAGACUGACUGCAGACAUUUUGUAACUUUUUAAAGUGAUCUGCCGGGCAAAUAACGCCCAAUCGGAGGCCUUUUCACCUGAUGUCUAGUCAUCGAAUUGUUGUUUCCCCUGACGCCGGAUACUCUCCAAUGAGUGAAAUCACUAGCAAGAAGGUGGACAGCGAUUGCCAUCUUGCGGGCAAUGAAGUAAUUACAGGGAAAAUGUUUGAAACAGAUGGAAGAUGGCUGAUCGUUAAUUUAUCCCCCAUGCAAACCAAAGAGAAUCACUCUAAUAAUCUACUCUAUCAUUUUUAUGACUUUGGAAGAGAACGAUUCCCAGAAGAUUUACACAGCAGUUUCAAUAAUAAACUAGGAGUGUAUUGUAAUGGAAGAAUUAUCUUGCUACCAUCCUGUAGCCAACGAAAAUCUGUCUCUACCAGUAAAAUAUGUUUCUGUAUUUUUCCCUAGAGAGACCAUUGCUCUGAAUUUAAAAUUCAUGGGUCUGUUGACCUGAAGCUAUAAAUACAAGCCCUGGGCUCUUUUUUUCUUUGCAAAUAACCUUUAAGAAGAGAAGAAAUAAAUAGGGUACUAGGUGCCUUCCUUUGCUUAACUAUUUUACCAUUCAUUGCGUUGCUGCCAAAUCUGAACCAGGGAAGGGAAGAGAGAGAAAUAGUAAUUUGACAUUGUUGAGUGUAAUACAAUUUAAACACAAGGAAAAAACUGAAAAUUUCUUUCUAUAUUUGAGGCCCAGGCUGCAACCAGUUUAAAUCGUG